CUCUGUUUGUUUGGACUGAAAAUCUUUUCCAGAAAAUAUUUUCUUCAAUUUCUGGUGUUUGGCUGCAAAAGAGGUCAGGAAAAUUUUUUCCAGUAGAAAAUCUUUUACAUAACUUGGUGUAAAAUGACUUCCGGAAUUAAGAUACGGAAGUUAAUUUCCGACAACUAUCGUGACUUACUAGUCUCCUUGGUACUUGACUAUUGUAAAAAACCAUCAAGUACUACAUCACAGAGAUCAAAUCAAGAGCAACAUCCCUGCACUUGCUUCUGCAAAUUCCACAACUUUCCACCUCUUCGAGCUCCCUUCUUUCUUAUGUUCCUCCCUACUAUUCAUUUUCACUUGCUCCACACAAACACAUUUAUGGAUUAUGCAAUUCUAGAUCUAAAUUGGGCUUUACAUUGAGAAGCUUUGGAGAAGGAAAAAAAAAGUGAAGCCAAUGGAGGCAGGAGGAAUACUUUUAGAAGAAGAGUUAAUACAAUAAACAUCAA
rnacentral:lncRNA from 1 species